GCACCUGUGGUGGAAUGGCAGACACGGCAGUUUUAGGUACUGUUUUCGCAAGGAGUGCAGGUUCAAGUCCUGUCAGGUGCA
rnacentral:tRNA from 1 species